AGUGAACGCUGGCGGUAGGCCUAACACAUGCAAGUCGAACGGCAGCACAGUAAGAGCUUGCUCUUACGGGUGGCGAGUGGCGGACGGGUGAGGAAUACAUCGGAAUCUACUUUUUCGUGGGGGAUAACGAAGGGAAACUUACGCUAAUACCGCAUACGACCUACGGGUGAAAGCAGGGGAUCUUCGGACCUUGCGCGAUUGAAUGAGCCGAUGUCGGAUUAGCUAGUUGGCGGGGUAAAGGCCCACCAAGGCGACGAUCCGUAGCUGGUCUGAGAGGAUGAUCAGCCACACUGGAACUAGGACACGGUCCAGACUCCUACGGGAGGCAGCAGUGGGGAAUAUUGGACAAUGGGCGCAAGCCUGAUCCAGCCAUACCGCGUGGGUGAAGAAGGCCUUCGGGUUGUAAAGCCCUUUUGUUGGGAAAGAAAAGCAGCAGGUUAAUACCCCGCUGUUCCGACGGUACCCAAAGAAUAAGCACCGGCUAACUUCGUG
rnacentral:rRNA from 1 species